UCUGAUCUCGUGUUUCGUCUUGUGAUCUUUUUAUACUCUUACAACAUGUUGCUACAGAGUAUAAUAGUUUUGUUCACCUAACGGUUGUUUUUAUCACCUAAAAAUAAUCGAGUUAUAUAAAGGGUUAUGUAUAUAUGUAUAAAUGAUCAGGAUAAUGAGACGAGUUGAAAUCCGCGUGACUGUUUGUCCGUCCGCCCGUCUGUCCGUGCCAGCCCUCUAAAAGGUUUAAAGUACAUAUCUCCUAAACAACUGAAGCUACAAUAAUCAAAUAUGCUUAGGACAAAUCCUAUAAGAACACAGUGUGAAAAUGGAUCAAAUCGGAUUAUAAUCCCGCCCUCUCCCCAUGUAACGAUUUUGUUAAAAACUACUUAAAGCUCAAUAAAGCAGUAACCAAAUGCGCCAGAGACAUUAAAUCUUACACCCAGGACAAGAGGGCUUUAUAGGUGCCGGAUUAAAAUUGGACGAUGGGUGUGGCACCGCCCACAUUUAGGUGAAAUCACAUAUCUCCGGACCUACACGACAAAUUUCAACCAAAUUAUCUGUAACCUGACAACCCUAUGUCGCAUUGCGAAAAUAUGCGGGAUCGGACUACAACCACGCUUACUAUUACCAGCACAAUUUCAAAUUCCAUAUGAUUCUUUCACUUUCCAGUACUCAAAUCAAGUACUAAUUAAUAUAUACGGAUAAAACUUUGCACAUAUAGCGCCUUUGAAGUAUCCUUGCACGUUACAAGAGUAUAAAAUGUUCGGUUACACCCGAACUUAGCCCUUCCUUACUUGUUUUGGUUAAAAUUUUUGAGUAUGAAAUGUUUCGUUACUAAGUUGAAACCAAGGUUCGUUUAAAGGUAGAGCGUUAAUGAACGCAAUUUGGGUUUCUUGUAUGCGUACUGGUCUCAGAAACUCGCACAUUCUUACAGAGGUCUCGAUUAAGAUUAUAGGAACAUGUUGGUAAAAGUAACUAAAGGUCACUCUCCACCCGAUGAUUUUAAAAAAAUUAUGAAAAUUAGAGUAAUCCUUUGAUUGGAAAUAUUCGAGAAGUACAUAUCAAAACAUUUCUUAAGUAAUUCAAACCGAGUAUGAGUAAAAUAAUAGAACCUUAUGCCAACAUGCAAAUACUUAUGUGCAUAAGAAUACAGUACUACUAAAGCUUUAAUUUAUUUAUAUGAAUACAGUAUUGUUUGUAGAAAGUUUUUAAUUUAGAGUCAUUAACCAUUUUUGAACAGAAAAAGAAACUGUUUAGUGAUUAAUUUUAAUUCACCGUAUAGAUGCCUUUUAUAAAAUUUACCUAAUUCUGUUUUUACACGGUUUGAAAAUAAUUUUUUUUUCGUUUUUUACACGAUAUUAUGCCAUUUAGCACGAUUCAAAUUUUUUUGGGCUUACAUUUUAUUUGUCAGAUUUAAUUUUUGCGAAAUAUGUUCAUAUCACAAUCCACUUUUUGUGGAUACAAGCAAGUUUACUAGUCCAAGUAAUUAUAAAUAGCACAAAGUUAUGGGAACGACCAAUGUCUUCUUUUACACGGUUUUUUCUGGAACCAAUCUACCGCGUAAAAACAGAAUUAGAUGUAGUUAUAAUUUAAUGUUUGGGUUUAGCUUAAGAGCAUUUCAUGCUAGGGGCUUAAUGCAGAGAUAUCGCACCACACUCGUUUUAAAUCAGUUUUAUUCAAAAAUAUAUAUAUAUUUUACUUUAGAACACAUUUUUAAUAUUGACUUAACUGUUCAGCGCAAGGAAUUAUAUUAUAAAUAUAAACAGUUGCGAGUUACAAAACUAGAAACUUUGAGUUUUCAUUAGUGGAGGAAUGGGACCAUAGAUAAAUAUGUGUUAGACAAGCGGGUUUGCGUGAGAUAUUUUGGAGCUUUGAAUUUAAUGUACUGCACUCUUUCGAUCAGCUAGAAACACGCCGAAUGUUUUAUUUUAGGGAGUAGGAAAAACUCCAUGGCGUUCUAAAUACAGAUUAUUGAUUCCAGACAAUGUGCUGUAAAAACUCUCCGGUGUAAGUCGACAUUUUUAAAUUGUUAUACUAAAGUGGAUAGAGGACAAUAGUCUUGUUUAAUUUUAUUGAUUUGCAAGGGUUGUCCUAGAAGAGAUACUGAUUAUUGGCGAUCGUUUAGGUAAACUAUUAGACAUAGUGUUUUUGAUCGAGUACUACUAGUGGGUUUUGAAUCUCGUAAAAAAUAAUUAGUUAAAAGCUCUAGUAAUUUGUGGAUUUUGGACGUCACAGUCGGGUCUACUCAACCGGAACGGACAAGGUUUAUAUCCGGCCAAGGACUUAACAUUAUUUGGGGUAUGUUUUAACUCACUACAACAAUAACAAUUACAUAGACCAGACUAGUAAAUGAAUAUCGGGUAUUACAAGAGUUAGCAGAGCUGAUCCGCAAUAUACAGUUACUAACAAUAAAAUAGAAUCAAAUAGAUGGUUUCGCAAUAAUUAACAAUCUUUAUUAUUUGUCCGAUAAAUUUCGGAUACGUUUUAUCUGUAAUCGAUUCCUACAAUGUUUAUCUUUUAAAAGACCAUGAUGGUAGCUCUGCUACAUUUUACUGUUAUCAUUGUGUUCAAAUUAAACAGAAGUGUGCAUUUGUUGUCGUGACAAAAAAAAUACAACCAAGGAAUAAAAAUAUCAAUUAUAGGCGUUAUUUAGUAAACAAUUAUAUUAAGAAAUGGGCCGAGGAAAGCAUUGUACAGCUACAGAGCGUAAGCUCAAUCAAAAUUUGUAAAAUAAUUUAAUUAACCCAAAAGGUAAUUUCAGAAAUUAUAAAAAGAUCCCAAAAAUAUAUGUUUACUGCUUUGAAACCUUCAAAAGAAUGCGAAUUGAGGGGACGGCCACGAAAAACGAGGUCAGAAGAUGACAAUUACAUAGAAAUGUUAUUAAAAUACGAUGUUUUCAAGACCUCUGUAGCUAUCCAAAGAGAAUUAGGUGAGAACUGUUGCGCGUCGCUUUGUAGAAAAUAAUAUCUUCGGAAGGUUGUCCCGGAAAGUCCCAAUGUU